AGGCUUAACACAUGCAAGUCGAGGGGUAACAGAGAGUGCUUGCACUCUGCUGACGACCGGCGCACGGGUGAGUAACGCGUAUGCAACCUACCUUUUACAGGGGAAUAGCCCAGAGAAAUUUGGAUUAAUACCCCAUAUUAUCUUUUUUUCGCAUGAAUAAGAGAUGAAAGUUUCGACGGUAAAAGAUGGGCAUGCGUCCUAUUAGUUUGUUGGUAAGGUAACGGCUUACCAAGACUUCGAUAGGUAGGGGCCCUGAGAGGGGGAUCCCCCACACUGGUACUGAGACACGGACCAGACUCCUACGGGAGGCAGCAGUGAGGAAUAUUGGACAAUGGAGGAAACUCUGAUCCAGCCAUGCCGCGUGCAGGAUGAAUGCCCUAUGGGUUGUAAACUGCUUUUAUACAGGAAGAAACAUUUCCACGUGUGGAAACUUGACGGUACUGUAAGAAUAAGGAUCGGCUAACUCCGUGCCAGCAGCCGCGGUAAUACGGAGGAUCCAAGCGUUAUCCGGAAUUAUUGGGUUUAAAGGGUCCGUAGGUGGUUAUUUAAGUCAGAGGUGAAAUCCUGCCGCUUAACGGUAGAACUGCCUUUGAUACUGAUUAACUUGAGUUAUUGUGAAGUAGUUAGAAUAUGUAGUGUAGCGGUGAAAUGCAUAGAUAUUACAUAGAAUACCGAUUGCGAAGGCAGAUUACUAACAAUAUACUGACACUGAGGGACGAAAGCGUGGGUAGCGAACAGGAUUAGAUACCCUGGUAGUCCACGCCGUAAACGAUGGUCACUAGCUGUUUGAUUAACAUUGGUUAAUUAAGUGGCUAAGCGAAAGUGAUAAGUGACCCACCUGGGGAGUACGCUC
rnacentral:rRNA from 1 species